UUCCCUCCAUUUCAGCCGUGCAUCUCAAAGAGCAAGAACCAAACUUGCUUCAUCAAUUUUCUUUCAUCAUUUCUUCACCAAAUCUUCUCCAAAUCACACCAAAAUUUAACUACACUUAACUAAUCACUUGGAGAGCACUUUGAGCUAGGAAAGGAGGCUGCUCUCACGGUUUUUCUUUGGCUCAAGAAGACCGAAAAUUUCUGCCUUGAACAUCUAGUGAAGUGCUCAAGGAAACCUUCAAGGGGAUCUUGAGAGGGAACACCUAAAGGCUCGUUUACGCACUUACUCCCUUAUUUCGAUUGGUUGGAUUGGAAGAUUUUGGAAAAGCCGACUAGAUUAUACUUUUGAUUGAAAUUUGAACUGUAAAUGUGUAGUCGACUUUUAAUGGUUGUAUUUUGGGACUUGAUAUAUCUUUUGUGAACAUGAAGUAAGAUUUGAAUAUUUAGUUAAGGAAGCGACUUUUCUUUA